ACAUCACUGACCAGACAAGAGUUAGGGUCACGUCUUAUUUAGUACAAAUAAAGCUUUGCUGUACAAUAUAUGUGAAUAUGAUGUUUAAUUACAGUAUCUGAAUGAGGUUCAAGUUAAAUUGUUAAAAACGGCGUUUAAACCCAGUGAAUAUGCCUAUUGCAGUGGAUCUCUCAUCUACUUGUUGAGAGCUGACAACUCAGUCGAUUCGUUAUGCCUGCCCGAGCCGGAAGGGGGAGCUCGCGGCCACCAUGCGUCAUCAUUCUAAUGCUGUCAGAGAUGGAAGUCCAUCCAGCCUUGUCGAGUUCUCAUUCCUGUAACGCUUUUUCAGGGAACAACGAUUGAUUGUGUCUGCACAGCCCUGUCAGUAUUUGCCCACUUUUUUUCAGCUAAACACCAGUUGCCGCGUGCAGUAAAUUGUGAAGCCCACCUACAACGCGCAUGCGUGGAUUCGAUGACGUCACGGUGGAGCUGCAGUUUACCGACCUGAGUUAGCGAUUUGUUUUCGCUCAGCACGGUUGCAAUUUUGCAUGUAAUGUUAGUACCAAACUUUGAGGACUUGUUGUACCAUACUACACACUGUAUUUGACACACAAGAGACAUUGGAUGGAUGGAUGGAUGGUUUACACUGCAUUAUUUCAGUAAUAUCGAUUGAUAAAAAAAUGAUAAAAAGCUCUUGUUCAUGCAGAAGGGUCACGAUAUUUGCUAUGCUGACACUGUAUGUUUAUAUUAGUGUGGCAUUUGGGUUACCAAAUAUGGCCCAUCCUUGCCCUAUAAAAUUCUACACAUAAAAAAACAAAUUAUGUUGUCACUACCUGAUUUUGACCACCAGCUCAGUGAAGUUGGGCCGCUCUCUGGGGUCGUAGGCCCAGCAGCGGGUCAUGAGGGAGUAGAGCGCUGGGGGGCAGUUUUCGGGCUUGGGCAGCCUGAUUCCUUGCUCCAACUGGUUGAUGACGUCUCGGUUCUCCAGCCAGAAGAACGGCUGCUGUCCUCGACUCAUGAUCUCCCACAUGCACACAGCUGUGGGGUCAAUGUAGGCGUGAGCCAACUUUUAUUUGUAUUUUACAACAAUGCUGCCCUCUUGUGGUGUACUUAUGAGGCACACCAGUGGAAGGACGCUCACCAAAAAGUCAACAUGAAUUAAAUGUCAUUUAAUGAAUGAAAGUGAACCAAAAACUCACCAAACAUCCAAACGUCGCUGGCCGAGGUGAAACGUCGAAAGUUAAUGGAUUCCGGCGCCAUCCACUUGAUAGGCAAUCGUGUCACAGAUGCUGCAAUUUUAGAUUUGCACUGCAUUACAGUGAGAGCUGUUUCUAAUAUUGUGGUUACCUUAUUCAGCCAGUAGAGCAUCACUAGAGUUUAUUUGUUUUAGUUUAAGACUAAUAACCUUUGUAGUACUCUUCAUCCUCAAUGUAU